UUUUUAAUGCCUUUUCAUUGCGACUUUAAAUGACAACAACACUUGUGUGUAACAGCGUCCCUGUCUGAGGCCCUAAAUCUGUAUUCCUUCCCUUCUUGCAGUGCUUGGUUCGUUCCUUGGUGACACCAAGGCAGUACUGAACGACUGUGGGGACCGCUGGAUCCUGCGAGACUGGGCCUCCAUUCCUCAGCUUCUUCAGAUGACCGUGUGCGUUAACAUUCGUGUGGUAGCCCCGGGGUCCUGGGUGGCCUUCACCUACAGCUCGGUUUGGGCUUUGGGCCUAAACAGGCCAGAAUUUGGUCUGGAAGGGGACGAGGGGGCCAUAUACGUAUGGCUCCUACGAGUGCGUCACAACUUUCCUCUCAGACUGGCCCCACAGUUGUGGCACAGAUUGUGUCUGAAGAGGGACGUACCAGGAAACACUUUCAGCCUGGAGGUGGAUGAGAUGCUGGUGGCAAAGAGGACUGUCAUCGCCCAGGCCAUCCCCCCUCAUGGCUCACUGUGGCUCGGCUGCCAUUCCAGGGGCCCUGAAGUGGGGGUCUUGGAGCUCUACCUGUUCAGGAUGUGGGCGGACCUGAGAGAGCACGAGCUGUGUGAAGACGGCUCUGUGAUUGGCUGGGAUGACCGAUACUGGAAAACCAGUCCUAAAGCCAGAGAGAGGGACCCCUACCUCAUGUGUGCUGCUGGAUCUGGAUUUGGAAAAUUAUUUGGGACUCCACCUGCCUGGACAUUUUCUUUGCCUGCACCGCCCCUUUACUCUGGUCCAGCCAAUCAGAUCCCCACAAACACCCAGAGUCCUGCAAGCACUCCUUCAAUGGCCAUUCAGAGCCGUGUGGGAGGAGCCUCAGGUUCUCGUGUAACGUGUGACAGCCGUCGCAUUUGCUCUGAUACAAACGUAUACUUUUUGAUGCCUUUAAAUGUGGAGGUCAAAGGAAGCAAAAAGACAGAACAGGAUGUGCACAACUGGGUAAGAGGCUUUUUAUUUAUCACAUAUCAGUCUGCAGCUCUUAUAUAUUUCUUCAGUCAUAGAUACAUUUUUGUUCAAAGCAU
rnacentral:lncRNA from 1 species